AGGAUAGGAGAAGCGUAAAGAACUUCGGGAUCACUCAUGGGCGGAAGGUGUUGUGCAGAGUGGCUUUUGUGCUCUUCGCUGGGUCGAAACAUCAGCUGGAAGGCAAAGAAUAUGGCAAUAAGAGCAUACUGGACAACUGAUAAUAACAAGCAAUUUUGAAAA